UUCUCGGUGCCCAAGUUUAAUAGGUCCCACGUCAAUCCAUCCCGAACUUGACAGUGAAACUAUUAAAGGGAACAUAAACGUGCAUGGGAGACUGUGUGAUUUUAUUUUAGUUCUUGGUGCCGGGAA
rnacentral:rRNA from 3 species